rfam:Roseburia sp. CAG:100 genomic scaffold, scf67
UGCAGAGUAGAACAUUAUGCGUUAAGUGCCGUAUGAACAGGGAGUUGUCAUAUGGACGAAAAGCAUCCGAAAGGUUUCGCUUGCGGUAUAAGGUUCGCAUCCCGCUGCU